rnacentral:rRNA from 1 species
AGCAGUCGCCGCGGUAAUACGUAGGUGGCGAGCGUUGUCCGGAAUUAUUGGGCGUAAAGGGAGCGCAGGCGGACAUAUAAGUCCAUCUUAAAAGUGCGGGGCUCGACCCCGUGAGGGGAUGGAAACUGUAUGCCUUGAGUGCAGGAGAGGAAAGCGGAAUUCCCAGUGUAGCGGUGAAAUGCGUAGAUAUUGGGAGGAACACCAGUGGCGAAGGCGGCUUUCUGGACUGUAACUGACGCUGAGGCUCGAAAGCCAGGGGAGCGAACGGGAUUAGAUACCCCUGUAGUCCCUGUCUCUUAUACA